AGGGGGGGGUAGUGUAACGUUUCCUGCACUAAGAUCUUAAUGUCUGAGUUUCACCGUAGAAGAGUGAUUGACAUGGUGUCAACGUACCCAACUGGAGAUUCAUUUCUUCAGCACCUUGAUAAUCACCGUUGAGCUCAAUAGAUAAAUAAAAGCGAUUUCCACUGGCAUGUGAUUCCAACUGUUGUGCAACACCGUCGCUUCCGAGCCUGCCACAGCCUGGAAAAAAACAGUACCCUUCGACAGGCUUUCUAAUGCUAGAACCUGGCAUCCAACACUGAUUGAGUGAAUAUUCUCACGCUUGUUUUUCUGCGUUAUCCUCUAGGUCAUGUUGAAAUGAAUGUGAAAGACAAAGAUUUGGAGCAGGAAACUUUCGGUGUCCAUUCAAGCACAUGAAUCUGUUUGCCAAUGCAUCAGUUAAUAGACAGGUUGCUUCUACCUGCACAGGAAUCUAUUCACGUACUGCAUGCAACGAGGUGACAAAGUUGGUAAACCUGUCAAACCCAGAAACCAACUUCACCAUCAGGCACCUCGAGCUCGCAAGAGGCUCCCUUGGAUUCGAGAGCAAGGUAACGGUGGAGGAUGAGUGGAGAGUGGGACCUGGAGACUUUGUGGAGAAAAAGCGGCUGGCGGAAG
rnacentral:lncRNA from 1 species